CUGAGGAAAACCGGAGGGGAUUACAACGGGGACGGGGAAUGGAGGGGUCAGGAGGCGGGGCCGAGGGGAAGGGAGGAGGGGUCCUGGGAAAAUCUGCCGCGUUUCACAGGCCUAGAUGAAACACCUCCUCAAAUGGGUGUUUUCCAAGUGGCUUCCCGCUCACUCUGGUUCCCAGCCCUUUUCAUUCAUUCAGACGUUCAUUGGACACCUCCCUUAUGCAAAUGUCUGCGUUAGAUGCUGGAGCUACAGAGAUGCCUGGAGUUCGGCAAGUGACAAACCUAGAACUGUCUUCGCUCUCUUCGACCCCCCCCCCAUGCUUGCGCACAGACAGACAAGAUGACAACGUGGGCUGUGACCCUUCAGAGCUCUGUAAAUGUAAAACUUUCGCAGUUGAGCUCUGAGGACUUAGCUUUCUUCUCCUUGGGUGUGAAAUGAGGUCAGGCCAAGGCCUCUGGCAAAGACACCCCUAAUGUCCACCUCGUAUAUGCAUGCCAGAGCGCCGCGUAGUUUUCUCCAGAGGUGAAAACUGCGUUGGAAUUGAGGCCCCACUCGCACUCAAACCAGAGAUGCCCCCGGGGCAGAGAGCGGCCUGCUGUGUGAGCCUCCUUAGCACCUCAUCGCCGUCCCCAGCCGUGUGUGAACCCAGGUGGACUGGGGACAGACACUGCUCGGGUCCUUCCGUGGGCCUGGCAUAGUCGAGGACGCUGGUCGCUGCCCGGAACGCACUUCAGGCAACUUAAGCCUGGAAACGCCGGAGCAAACUUAGUCCGUCUGGGCAUUUAAUAGAAAGGAGAAGGGCUCGAAUCCUGACCCCUCCUUCCUACCUGCCACAUCCCUUUCUCCACCUCGCCACCCCCGCCAGGCUUGCCCUUUCAAUUCCUAGAGUUUCCCAGAUCGAGCUCUGCCUCCUGUAGGGAGCCCCAAAACCCGGAGAACUGGAAUUCGCUGCCGGAGACCUGCUGAAGGCGCUGCAGGAUUGGCGCGGCACUCGCGAGCGGCACUGCGCAUGUGCCCAAUGCGGGCAGCCCAGUCUCACGCUACACCUCCUUCCCACCGCCUUCCACUACUCAGCUCAGACACAACACGGGCCGUGGGAAAUUUCCUAAACCUCGCGAGAACGCGCCCACUGUUGCCUAUGCCUUCGCCCCCAAAUCUCGCGGAGCCCAGGCGGGACAGGCCCAAAGCUUUACAUAACUUGCUAACAUGCGCAGCAGUUCAGGAAAGUGAAGUAAGAAAAAGAACGGGCCGUUUACUCUAGUGAUGGGAAACGUGAAUGGAAUCAAAUGCACAUUUGGAUAUAAACAAGAGAAAGCCACUUUUACAAAAAAAUGACAAAAAUGACAACACUAUACAGAAAAAAAGACAAUACCACAUGAAUCAUAAAAUACCAGUUAUUU